AAUUGCGCAAGCAGAAGUUGAUGGAGUACUUAGCAGUCAAGGGAAAACUGAAGCCCCCCAACCCAAAACCCUAUCGCCGAGAUGACAUUAAAGCAGAGAGAAGCAGCAUGUCUGCAGUGAAGGAUGACGUAAGUCUUCUGUAGCGUCAGAUGGGGCUGAGGGACAGGAGGAGAAGGAUGAAGAGAACAGUGUGGAGCCUGGCUCUGGCCACACCCACAACUGUCAAAGCCCUGAUCCGUGGUGACAGAGGAGGAUCGUCUGUGGUCAAGUACAAGAUCACAGCCACUCCAGGUGGCUUCAGGAGCCAGCAGAGGGAGUUGGCGGUGGCCCGCGUGGGUGGAUGGACAGGAGCUGAGGUUUUUCACCCACGCCAGGCGCUCUGUGAGGAUCAAUAGGUCUUCACUCCGCCACCCCGCCUCCCUCCAGGAGCACGACCUCUGUGUUGCCUCCUUCAAUGACCUGAUGAUCCAGGAGGAGGAUAGAGAUGUGGCAAGGGAGGGAGACGGAGAGGAUGAAGGCAGCUCCGGGCUCAUCCCGAAUGACCAUCUGUACGUGUACAGAGAUAACGAGGCACUGAGAGACCAGGUCAAUAUCCAGCUGGUCUACGCUGAAGAAGACUAAGGGCUACAUCCUAAUACUCUUAAGUGGCGCUUCCUCUCCUGGUUUAUUCCUAGCCUAUCAAUCCUGAUCUAAUAGUACAGGAAUAGGUGCAAGGGUGGUGGUGGAUGAUGCCCAUUCACCCUCUAGGAAUGUAGCUUUCAACUGUCUAGUUGUUUGUCUUCAGUGCAGCGUCACAGUGUUGUUUGAGGCCACCUAAAGUGAGACUGAUUCAAGACCGAGACCAGAAUAGUGUGAGUCUAACUCAAGACCAUGAUUGUAAUUGUGUCAAAUCGCCACCAUAAUAACAGUUCAAAAUGUUCAAUAUUUCAGAAAACCAGGGGGAAGAUACAGUGGCAGAAUAAAUUCAACUACACCUUUGUUUUAUCAAGUUUUUUUUGGUGCGCCAGGACCAUUCAUAGUUGAGCUCGCUCAGUUUAGCUCAAAGCUGAUUGCUAAAUUUGUUAUCCUUUUUUUCCAUCGGGGAGGCCUCUGUCUGGCUUCCCUUGCAUUCCAUUCAAUGCUAUGGGCGGCAACAAUUUCAUACUCGUUUUGACUAGACAGCAUCAGAUAGAUGGCCUACACGUAGCGAGACAGAAGGGUGCUGUUUUGCUUGCUCAGAUGCUUUCUCCGGUGAGAUACAUUCAGCAUCUUGCGUAUUGAAGGAAAAUGAUGAAACACAGAGAGACAAAAGAUAAACAAUUGUUUGUUUUUUAAAUAUUUUUUCUUGGUCAAUAUUUUUAUGAAGCCUGGCUUCCUUUGGCAUCCAUGAAUACACGCCACUGGUAUUCAUUAGUACACACCGUAGCAAAAUGAAAACAGGUGUUUUUCUGUCAGUGCUUCCCUGUUUCAG
rnacentral:lncRNA from 13 species